UACAGAGACUGCAAGCGUUAUUCGGAUUCACUGGGCGUAAAGGGUGCGCAGGCGGCCGGGUGUGUCAGAUGUGAAAUCCCGAGGCUCAACCUCGGAACUGCGUCUGAAACUACUCGGCUAGAGUACUGGAGAGGGUAACGGAAUUCACGGUGUAGCAGUGAAAUGCGUAGAUAUCGUGAGGAACACCAGAGGCGAAGGCGGUUACCUGGACAGUUACUGACGCUCAGGCACGAAAGCGUGGGGAGCCAAA
rnacentral:rRNA from 1 species